GGUACACCUAAUCGUCACCAAUUUGCACUCAUCCAUGCAUGAGAUUGCCGGCCGAGCAAACCACGGCUCCAACGAGCAGCUCCGUGCAAACUCCCUCGCCACUCCCCUUGUCGCCAUGGCCAUUGGUACGGCGGCGGCCGCACCACGCUCUCCUGGCUUCCAUACCGUGUCGGUCCUCGGGUACGCGGUCACUUCUUGGUUCUUGCUGCUCUCACUUUUCUUUUUUUUUUUCCGCUUCAGUUUGCCAAGAAUUGGUCUCGCGUGCAGCACGGCAGCAAACGCCAUUGCUAGUUAACAUGCAGUUUCAGAGGUACUAGUAGCUAGCUUGCCCGCGAUAUCGCGCUAGGAACAUGAGUGUGGUUUUUCCAACUGUGCCGGCCCGGGCAUGUGAAUUCACCACCGUUGAUGCAGCUUCAAAUGUCGUGCGCCCAGAUUCUCCGCCGGCUGUUGGUCCCACCAGGACCGGGCGCGCACCUUCUGCCUGCCCAGGGAUGCCUCGCCAGGCAAGUAUUGCGGAGAAGCGCCAGGCCCCGAGCGAGGCAAACUGGUUUGGGGACCCACUUCUUUCCUCGGAUUCUCCUACCACGUUCGGCCAGCAGGCAUUCUUCUCAUCUCCGCAAGCUCAACAAUGAAGUCUCCCUCCUCUUCUUAGAUCUGCUUUUCCCGGAAGCUGGUGAGGACGCCCAAUGGCGGCGGGAAGAGAGGAACAGAGCAAUGGGGAAGAGCAGGACCAGAGCAUUCCAAUCGACGGUACAGAACCAACAAGAGGAUUGGUUUCGAUUGAGGAAGCCGCCGUUCUUAACUGCUACCCAUUCAUGCUCCACUCACACUUCAACAACCAGAUGGGAAAUCAAAUCGGUAUAGGAAUGGCAUUCCAGGAUAUGGUAAUGAGAGCCACCAAGGGAGUGUUGAACUAUGUAGCUGAUGACUUGAAUGAAGAAUCUGUGAGUGGCCGUGUAGAACAAGAUCAGACCUCCAAUGGAUAUUCAGGUGUUCCUUUGGAUGUAGAAAGUUCACCUGCAGAGCAUAACUCUUUUGUUUCAGGACUCUCACCUGUGGAAGCUGCAUCUUCCUCAUUUUGGUAAGCAUUUCCUGAUUGAAAUAGACAACCCUUUCCAGCACUGCAUGCCGUCGACCAUUAUUAUUGUUACUGAACACCUGCGUUCUUUUGUUCAUGUGCGUUGAGCGCGGGAGAUGGUUGCAGAAACUCUACAGCGCUCUCAACAGGAGAGGGGGCUGGCAACCAAGAUGAAUCAGGGCCUUGAGUCUUAGAAAUUGAAGAGGAAGGGAAUGUUUCUGCCAACCACACAAUGAUGAGUACAGAAAUGGUAGCUCAGCCAUGGCCUAGUCGUAAAAGGCUGCCUAAGGAUGCACCUGAAGGGUGCCCCCAAAGCUUGAUGGGUGCAAUCAAGAGGGCUCUACGCAAUGCUUCAAACAGAAAGGGUAAAUAUAUACUUGAGCCAACACCUGGAAUGACUUUUGACUGCGUGAGUGAAGCACAAGAGUUUUAUAAUAUAUAUUCAUGGGAGGUUGGAUUUGGUACAAAGAAGGGGGAUAAAUAUGGGAAAUCAAUGCAAGAAUUCCAAUGCCAGCGUCAUGGUUCAGACAACCGAGUUCAGUACCAAACCAUGAAGAAGAAGUGUCCUGCCCUGCUCCGGUUACACCGGACAAUAAACUUUGGGUGGUACGUAAGUCACCACAAAUCAGAACAUAACCAGUUCCGAGUCCUAUGCUGAGAAGUUGUGCUGGAAUUCCCAUGGAAAGAUUGACCAGUAUGUAAAGGAUAUGAUCAGGUAUCUAAGAGAUAAUAAUGUGACUCUCACAAAGGUAAACCACAUCAUGGGAAGUAUGCUGGGGCCUACUGGUAAAGCUCCAUGGUCAAGGAAUUCUAUAGCAAAUCUUUGCAAGCGAUUAGCAAAGGAGCAAAAGGCUGAUGAUGUCAGGAAAACACUAGAGGUGUUUAAGGAGAUGAAGAAACAAGACCCAGGUUUUCACUGCAGUGUUGACUAUGAUGCAAAAAACAAGAUAAAGACUCUAAUGUGGUGCACUGGAAAGAGUAGGAGUCAGUACGCUUGUUUUGGUGAUGUUGUUACAUUUGAUACAACUUAUUUCACCAACAUUUACAAGAUGCCUUUUGGGAUAUUUGUUGGUGUCAACAACCAUUUCCAGAGUAUAAUCUUUGGUGGAGUUUUAAUGACAGAUGAAACCACAGCAAGUUUUGAGUGGGUUUUUAA